GCGUCCCUCUUCCUUUCUGGUACAGUAGGUGUAGAACAGAGGGAAGAAGACUGCUGUAGACGGAGAGCUGAACCUGACUUCUCUUCAUUGAGUGUUCCUAUUGAAGUACAGAAACACAGCUGAGCUACCAAGACUUCCCUUCAUAAUAUAGAAUUCCUGAUUUCCUGAUCUCUCAGACUGAAACAAUAUUGCUUAAAAAAAAUUAGUCUUCAGAAGUAAAGCUUAGCUCUAAUGAAGUCCAAGAAAGGAAUAAGCUACUGAGGAUAUUUACUAAAUAUGAAGGUUAAAUGGCGUAAAUUUAAAAGAGAGAUAAGUGAUAGGAAGAGAUUGAAGGCAUUAGGGAAUUAUCGAAACAGUGGACUGGAGGAGUUCAUUUGCUUCCUGUGUCCUUUCUUCAUGUGACCUAAUCCACAUCCACGAGGACAUUUACAUUAUUCUCAUUCGCUUAGAGAGAAGAUAGCGACAGAACACAAGAUGACUAACUUGGAGGAGAGAGAAGGACCGGUGUUGUAUGCUUGGGAUGGACUAAUUAUUUCUGCUAUUAUCUCAUCUCCCAGAAGAUCACUUUCUCCAAAGACACAUGUUUUCUUUAUGGAAGGAAAUAAGCAAAAUUAAAAAAGAAUUAUAUCAUGGAAAGAAUUAAUUGUGUUUAUGUUAAGCAGAAACAAAUAUUAACUUGGAUGGUUUGGGAAAUGGGGCCUACAUUAGGCAAGUGACUCUGAGUAAAAAUGAAAAGAAAACUUUUAAAGGAAGGGCACUUUAAACAAAAUAAGAUACGCUUGUGUGUUAUGGAACCUGGUACAGUUUUCAUAUAAAAACAAGGUUGAGUCAAGUUCAAUUUAAUUCAAUUCAACAAGUAUUUAUUAAAUGCCUGUUAUGUCCCAGGUACUGCUGGGUCCGUGUUGGGGAUGCAGUCCCUGCUUUCAAGGAGGUUAAACUCUGCUAAGAUUAUGAGCUUCUUUAGUUAUUGGAAAGAGAGUCUUUUAAACUACACAAACAAUAGAGGAAUUAUCUUCAUCAGCCUCAGAUGUUUAAGGUAGGUCCCAAAGAGCGAAAACAUCAAAAUAGUGUUUGGAGGAUCCACAGCCAGCAGUUUUCGUAUGAAAUUUGCAUGUGCAGGUAUCUCACACACAUGUAUUCAAUUGCUGUUUCUCUCAUGAGUGACUGUCACAAGUUUACUUGGAGUUCUCAUUAAAAAUAUCACGUCUAUUGUCAUGAAAAUUUCAUUAAA